AGAGUUUGAUCCUGGCUCAGAUUGUUUAACAAGACUGCGGCGGCAUGCCUUACACAUGCAAGUCGAACGGCACCGCGGGGGCAACCCUGGUGGCGAGUGGCGAACGGGUGAGUAAUACAUCGGAACGUGUCCUGUAGUGGGGGAUAGCCCGGCGAAAGCCGGAUUAAUACCGCAUCGACGGAAGAAAGCGGGGGAUGCGCAAGACCUCGCGCUAUAGGGGCGGCCGAUGGCAGAUUAGCUAGUUGGUGGGGUAAAGGCCUACCAAGGCGACGAUCUGUAGCUGGUCUGAGAGGACGACCAGCCACACUGGGACUGAGACACGGCCCAGACUCCUACGGGAGGCAGCUAGUGGGGAAUUUUGGACAAUGGGGGAAACCCUGAUCCAGCAAUGCCGCGUGUGUGAAGAAGGCCUUCGGGUUGUAAAGCACUUUUUCCGGAAAGAAAAGCUC
rnacentral:rRNA from 1 species